rnacentral:rRNA from 1 species
GACGAACGCUGGCGGCGUGCCUAAUACAUGCAAGUAGAACGCUGAAGGAGGAGCUUGCUCUUCUGGAUGAGUUGCGAACGGGUGAGUAACGCGUAGGUAACCUGCCUGGUAGCGGGGGAUAACUAUUGGAAACGAUAGCUAAUACCCCAUAAGAGUAUAUGUUGCAUGACAUUUACUUAAAAGGUGCAAUUGCAUCACUACCAGAUGGACCUGCGUUGUAUUAGCUAGUUGGUGGGGUAACGGCUUACCAAGGCGACGAUACAUAGCCGACCUGAGAGGGGGAUCGGCCACACUGGGACUGAGACACGGCCCAGACUCCUACGGGAGGCAGCAGUAGGGAAUCUUCGGCAAUGGACGGAAGUCUGAACGAGCAACGCCGCGUGAGGGAAGAAGGUUUUCGGAUCGUAAAGCUCUGUUGUAAGAGAAGAACGAGUGUGAGAGUGGAAAGUUCACACUGUGACGGUAUCUUACCAGAAAGGGACGGCUAACUACGUG